rnacentral:rRNA from 1 species
CCUACGGGAGGCAGCAGUGGGGAAUAUUGGACAAUGGGGGGAACCCUGAUCCAGCGACGCCGCGUGAGUGAAGAAGUAUUUCGGUAUGUAAAGCUCUAUCAGCAGGGAAGAAAGAAAUGACGGUACCUGACUAAGAAGCCCCGGCUAACUACGUGCCAGCAGCCGCGGUAAUACGUAGGGGGCAAGCGUUAUCCGGAUUUACUGGGUGUAAAGGGGGCGUAGACGGCGAUGCAAGUCUGAAGUGAAAGGCGGGGGCCCAACCCCUGGACUGCUUUGGAAACUGUAUGGCUGGAGUGCAGGAGAGGUAAGUGGAAUUCCUAGUGUAGCGGUGAAAUGCGUAGAUAUUAGGAGGAACACCAGUGGCGAAGGCGGCUUACUGGACUGUAACUGACGUUGAGGCUCGAAAGCGUGGGGAGCAAACAGGAUUAGAUACCCGAGUAGUC